CAGCACUGCCUCUAGGAAGAGCCAUAAAACAAUUUGUACCCCAAAUUCAGUUUGUGCUAUUCUAGAGACUUCACUUAUGGGGACAUACUUUACCUAAGUGUGUAAACUAACUAAAUUCCCACAAUAGGGGAAUGGGGUUAUAAUGACAACCCCUUGGGAAAAUACUUACGAUGGAUAUAGCUCUUUCCUCAGCUCCUUUCCCUGGAACAUGUUUCAGAAAAGAGAAGGAAGAGCUGAGCAUGUUUUCAGAGGAGACCAGACUGGAAGCAAGAACUUCUUGGACCACACUACCUGCUGCUGCCUGAGA